rnacentral:rRNA from 1 species
GACGAACGCUGGCGGCGCGCUUAACACAUGCAAGUCGAGCGAGAACCAGGCCCUCGGGUCUGGGGAAAGCGGCGAACGGGUGAGUAACACGUGAGUAACCUGCCCUCGGCACCGGGAUAGCCCGGGGAAACCCGGAUUAAUACCGGAUAGCCAUUCGAGCUCUCGAGCGCGAAUGGAAAGGUAGCUUUGGCCUCUGGCCGAGGAUGGGCUCGCGGCGGAUUAGCUUGUUGGUGGGGUAAUGGCCCACCAAGGCGACGCUCCGUAGCUGGUUUGAGAGGACGAUCAGCCACACUGGGACUGAGACACGGCCCAGACUCCUACGGGAGGCAGCAGUGGGGAAUCUUGCGCAAUGGGCGAAAGCCUGACGCAGCGACGCCGCGUGCGGGAAGAAGGCCUUCGGGUUGUAAACCGCUUUCAGGAGGGACGAAGCCCCUCGGGUGAAUAGCCCAGAGGGUGACGGUACCUCCAGAAGAAGCCCCGGCUAACUACGUGCCAGCCGCCGCGGUAAAAC